rnacentral:rRNA from 1 species
UACGGAGGGUGCAAGCGUUAUCCGGAUUUACUGGGUUUAAAGGGUGCGUAGGUGGAUUGGUAAGUCAGUGGUGAAAUACUUUCGCUUACGAAGGAACUGCCAUUGAUACUAUCAAUCUUGAAUGUAGUGGAGGUAGGCGGAAUGCGUCAUGUAGCGGUGAAAUGCUUAGAUAUGACGCAGAACACCAAUUGCGAAGGCAGCUUGCUACACUACUAUUGACACUGAGGCACGAAAGCGUGGGAUCAAACAGG